rnacentral:rRNA from 1 species
AUUGAACGCUGGCGGCAGGCCUAACACAUGCAAGUCGAGCGGUAAAGAGAAGCUUGCUUCUCUUGUGAGCGGCGGACGGGUGAGUAACACGUGGGUAACCUACCUAUAAGACUGGGAUAACUCCGGGAAACCGGGGCUAAUACCGGAUAAUAUUUUGAACCGCAUGGUUCAAUAGUGAAAGACGGUUUCGGCUGUCACUUAUAGAUGGACCCGCGCCGUAUUAGCUAGUUGGUAAGGUAAUGGCUUACCAAGGCGACGAUACGUAGCCGACCUGAGAGGGUGAUCGGCCACACUGGAACUGAGACACGGUCCAGACUCCUACGGGAGGCAGCAGUAGGGAAUCUUCCGCAAUGGGCGAAAGCCUGACGGAGCAACGCCGCGUGAGUGAUGAAGGUCUUCGGAUCGUAAAACUCUGUUGUUAGGGAAGAACAAAUUUGUUAGUAACUGAACAAGUCUUGACGGUACCUAACCAGAAAGCCACGGCUAACUACGUGCCAGCAGCCGCAGUAAAAC